UACAGAGGGGGCAAGCGUUGUUCGGAAUUACUGGGCGUAAAGGGCGCGUAGGCGGCCUGUUAAGUCGAACGUGAAAUCCCCGGGCUCAACCUGGGAACUGCAUCCGAAACUGCCUUGCUCGAGUAUGGGAGAGGGAAGUGAAAUUUCCGGUGUAGCGGUGAAAUGCGUAGAUAUCGGAAGGAACAUCAGUGGCGAAGGCGACUUCCUGGACCAAUACUGACGCUCAGGUGCGAAAGCGUGGGGAGCAAACAGG
rnacentral:rRNA from 1 species